CUUCUCCAGGCAGACACGGAUCAAUAAAGGCUUGAAAGCUGCCAGACAUUGUUGUUCUCCCCACCCACCGCUACAAGUAAUAGUCCUGUUUUUCUACAGAGGGGCAAGAGAGAAAAGAAAGGAGACAUCAAAGAACCACAGCAGCCCUCUGCCUCAUCAAGAAGAUCUACGGACGGACAAGAUUCCAUCCAAGCUAUUAACCUCUCAUCACUCUAAAGUCUGGCUCCCAAGAGCAGAGGACCUAAGGAGGAGGCAUUAAUCCCAUCUCAAGAAUGCUCAACUUGUGCCUACUGGUGGGAAACGUUGAGGGAAAGGAGGGGGGGGAAGGGGAGGAGAUGGCGAAAGCUAAAACCAGUCAUAUAAUUACAUUUACUAGAAGUAAGUAAAUGGAUUACACACUAACGUUGGGCCAAGAGUUUAGCUGUCAUUCAGAAUAGAAGAUUCACAAUCUAUUUGACUUCCUGCCUCCGGACCCAAAAGAAAUAUGUUUACAUGCAACAGGCUUUUCCAAGGCAUCUCCCCAAAACAUUGUUUUCUUUCCCGAGCCCUGGGGUCGAGAAUAUUUGCUUCGAAAUUAAACAUCAAGACUGCCCUAA